AAGUCGUAACAAGGUUUCCGUAGGUGAACCUGCGGAAGGAUCAUUAACACAUUGUCCAUUUGAUGAUAGUGAUGUUUGAGGGGUUUGAGUUUUUUUAAGACUCGUUUCCCUCUUCGUCCUAUCAUUCAAACCAAAUAGCGAAUGAGUUGAAGUCCUCAUUAUUAAUUAACUUUAAUAAUUAGUGGAAUAAGACAAAAUGUAAUCACGUUUAAUGGAGUUUCUCUCCAUUCGACUAAAUGUUUACAACAAACAAUAAUUAUAACCAAGACAACUUGUAACAGUGGAUACCUUGGUUCCCAG
rnacentral:misc_RNA from 1 species